rnacentral:rRNA from 1 species
UACGUAGGGUGCGAGCGUUAAUCGGAAUUACUGGGCGUAAAGCGUGCGCAGGCGGUUUGAUAAGACAGAUGUGAAAUCCCCGGGCUCAACCUGGGAACUGCAUUUGUGACUGUCAGACUAGAGUGUAGCAGAGGGGGGUAGAAUUCCACGUGUAGCAGUGAAAUGCGUAGAGAUGUGGAGGAAUACCGAGGGCGAAGGCAGCCCCCUGGGCUAACACUGACGCUCAUGCACGAAAGCGUGGGGAGCAAACAGGAUUAGAUACCCUGGUAGUCCACGCCCUAAACGAUGUCAACUAGGUGUUGGGGAAGGAGACUUCUUUAGUACCGCAGCUAACGCGUGAAGUUGACCGCCUGGGGAGUACGGUCGCAAGAUUAAAACUCAAAGGAAUUGACGGGGACCCGCACAAGCGGUGGAUUAUGUGGAUUAAUUCGAUGCAACGCGAAAAACCUUACCUACCCUUGACAUGUCAGGAAGAUUCCAGAGAUGGGAUUGUGCCCGAAAGGGAACCUGAACACAGGUGCUGCAUGGCUGUCGUCAGCUCGUGUCCUGAGAUGUUGGGUUAAGUCCCGCAACGAGCGCAACCCUUAUCAUUACUUGCCAUCAUUUAGUUGGGCACUUUAAUGAGACUGCCGGUGAUAAACCGGAGGAAGGCGGGGAUGACGUCAAGUCCUCAUGGCCCUUAUGGGUAGGGCUUCACACGUAAUACAAUGGUCGGUACAGAGGGUUGCCAACCCGCGAGGGGGAGCUCAUAUCAGAAAGCCGAUCGUAGUCCGGAUCGCAGUCUGCAACUCGACUGCGUGAAGUCGGAAUCGCUAGUAAUCGCGGACCAGCAUGUCGCGGAGAAUACGUUCCCGGGUCU